rnacentral:rRNA from 1 species
GACGAACCACACGACCGUUAUUCGGAAUUACUGGGCUUAAAGGGUGCGUAGGCGGCGUGGUAAGUUGGGUGUGAAAUCCCUCGGCUCAACCGAGGAACUGCGCCCAAAACUACCAUGCUUGAGGAAGAUAGAGGUAAGCGGAACUUACGGUGGAGCGGUGAAAUGCGUUGAUAUCGUAAGGAACACCUGUGGCGAAAGCGGCUUACUGGGUCUUUUCUGACGCUGAUGCACGAAAGCCAGGGGAGCAAACGGG